rnacentral:rRNA from 1 species
UGCCAGCCGCCGCGGUAAUACGGAGGGGGUUAGCGUUGUUCGGAAUUACUGGGCGUAAAGCGCACGUAGGCGGAUUAGUAAGUUAGGGGUGAAAUCCCGGGGCUCAACCCCGGAACUGCCUCUAAUACUGCUAGUCUUGAGUUCGAGAGAGGUGAGUGGAAUUCCGAGUGUAGAGGUGAAAUUCGUAGAUAUUCGAAGGAACAUCAGAGGCGAAGGCGGCUUUCUGGUCCGAUACUGACGCUGAGGUACGAAAGCGUGGGUAGCAAACAGGAUUAGAUA